ensembl:lncRNA
GUUUUCUUUCUGGAGAUCUCUCUGUGGUGAAGCUUUCCCUUACAAACCUGGAAUCUUCAGAUAUGGUUGUUGUCAGUAUCUCCUCCAGAAGACGUAAUGUACGGUCUCUAUGCCCUGUGGAAUUCUGGAGAGUGCAUGCUUUCAUUGGAGUCUUCAGAAAGCACUCACAACAGGGUGCUCUGGCCUUAGUCGUGGGAAUACAGGAACUGUGGGGAUACAAGGAGCAGAAAGCAGCUGACUCUACUCUUUUCACCAGGCAGUUUGGAGAAAAAAAUAUGCAACCUGACCCAAGUGCAGAGGAAGGAAAAGUAAACAAAGCAUAAGGGAGGAACAAGCCCAGUUCCUUCAGCCUAACUUCACAGAAGAGAUACUCAAAUCCUUGGAUCAUCUUCAUGGCUUUUGUAAAGUAUGUUGUCUGUUUAAGAAGUAUAUCCUUGGAAUAUUUAAUACAAGAAAAGGAAGUUUCCGAGCUGAAGGCACAGACUUCUGCCAGAGGAUCUCCACUCUUGGAUUUUUGCCAUCUCCGGAGGCAUGCUUUCACAUGUUUACCACACAGUGAGUGGAGGAAGUGCCCAAGAAACCCAGUAACACAUGUGGACAGCUCUGUGAGUUCAUCAGGCAGUCACUUCACAAGAACACGUAAGCUGUCCCGAUUGCCUUCUAACAUCCACACAUCACCGUGUGAUGUCUGUGUGCAACGCAGCUUUAAAUUGGCGUGGGACUUACAGGUGUAAGCCUGUGGGAGUUUUACCUUUGAGGAUAUUAUUAUGGCUGUGUUGCAGCGCUCUGAUUGCACUUAUCCAUCUGUGCGCUGUUAUGCUGACAGUGCUAACAAAGCACGCCCAGCUAGCAGGCUGGAACACCCCUUGUAAACACGGCUUUGGCUUUGCUGGGUGCUGAGCUGGGACGGGCAGGCCGGCGUCCUGAAUCACACCUACACAAGCUUCCU